ACGAACGCUGGCGGCGUGCCUAAUACAUGCAAGUCGAGCGAAGUUUUUCUGGUGCUUGCACUAGAAAAACUUAGCGGCGAACGGGUGAGUAACACGUAAAGAACCUGCCUCAUAGACUGGGACAACUAUUGGAAACGAUAGCUAAUACCGGAUAACAGUAUUUCUCGCAUGAGAGAUAUUUAAAAGUUGGUUAUGCUAACACUAUGAGAUGGCUUUGCGGUGCAUUAGCUAGUUGGUGGGGUAAAGGCCCACCAAGGCGACGAUGCAUAGCCGACCUGAGAGGGUGAUCGGCCACACUGGGACUGAGACACGGCCCAGACUCCUACGGGAGGCAGCAGUAGGGAAUCUUCCGCAAUGGGCGAAAGCCUGACGGAGCAACGCCGCGUGAGUGAAGAAGGAUUUCGGUUCGUAAAGCUCUGUUGUUGGGGAAGAAUGGAUAUGUAGUAACUAUACAUGUAAGAGACGGUACCUAACCAGAAAGCCACGGCUAACUACGUG
rnacentral:rRNA from 1 species